rnacentral:rRNA from 1 species
GACGAACGCUGGCGGCGUGCUUAACACAUGCAAGUCGAACGGAAAGGCCCUGCUUUUGUGGGGUGCUCGAGUGGCGAACGGGUGAGUAACACGUGAGUAACCUGCCCUUGACUUUGGGAUAACUUCAGGAAACUGGGGCUAAUACCGGAUAGGAGCUCCUGCUGCAUGGUGGUGGUUGGAAAGUUUCGGCGGUUGGGGAUGGACUCGCGGCUUAUCAGCUUGUUGGUGGGGUAGUGGCUUACCAAGGCGUUGACGGAUAGCCGGCCUGAGAGGGUGACCGGCGACAUUGGGACUGAGAUACGGACCAGACGCCUACGGGAGGCAGCAGUGGGGAACAUUGCACAAUGGGCGGAAGCCUGAUGCAGCAACGCCGCGUGCGGGAUGACGGCCUUCGGGUUGUAAAACGCUUUCGCCUGUGACGAAGAGGGAGUGACGGUAAUGGGUAAAGAAGCACCGGCUAACUACGUG